CAGUAAAAAAAGAAACUCCCGGUCCUCUUUAUUUCUUUUUCUUUCCUUUUCGUCUUCUUUCUUCUUCUUUCUGUUCUUCGUUUCUUCUUCCGGUUUGAGCGAGACAAAGAGAGUUGAGAGCAGAGGGAGAGAGAGACUGAUCGAGUGAGAGAUUGAGAGGUAACAGAGAGAGAGACCCGAGAGAUCGUGAGAUCGGGAGGGUAAACCGGGAUCGGAAACCCAAUCCAGCCGGAGGUCCGAUCCUCCAUGGCUCGCUGGUGGGUGAUUUGGAGCGUGAUUUUCGGCGUUCCCAAUAGUGAUUUCCAGCAAACCCGUGCAUUGAAACCCAUCAACCCGAGAGGAUUCGACGAACCCGUGAGACCCGAUCCUCCGAUGGGUCAGAGCCGGCGAUUCCAAGGGAGUCUUCCGGCGGCCUGAGAUGCUUUUCCAGUGGUUUUUAAGCUCAAAAGCUAUAGCCAAAGGGGGAGUUUGUUGGUUUUAUUGGCUACAUUCUCAUAGACAAAAACACUUCCUUUUCUGGACACUGACGUUUUAGGGACACCGUAAUUCAGAGUCUAUUUCAGAUAUUAUUGCAGAAUAUUUAUGCCAACAUGGAAAGAAUUGUACAAGGCAAGAUCUACAAUAUAUUGCUCAAGAAAUUAAAGAUUUUGAAGACAAGGAAGAUUCUAGCAACUUUACAAAUUUCAAAGUCGAUUUUCCCUUGUGACCGUCUAGACAGCCCCAAGGAAGCAUCUGGAUGCCAGACAGUGUUUUCAUUCUGUUCGAACAGCGUAUCAGAUGCAAACCACAGGGACUUGGUGCUCGCACAACCUUCCAAACGCCCAGUGACGCGACCCACAGAGAGCACAUGUUCGCACAAGUGUCAGGACACAAAUGCGAUAGCUGCGAAUAGUGGAGGUGUUCUACACAACUAUUCGGAUGCUAGGGCAAGCCAUCCGAACGCACUUCAGUAACUUAUGAUGGAUUGAUGCUUACCGUCCGAACGCCCAAUGUCUUGUCUAUACGCCACCUAUGCAAAUUCGGGUUGGAGUAGAAUUAUGAUUUUUGUAGCCUAUUUAAAGAGGCUUAUAUGCUGUGUAUUUGUAAGAAUUUAGUAUUGAAUUUCAGUGUGCCAAGGGAGGCUGUUUAGAUAGAUAUUGUUAGAUGUGCUAACUCUCUUAGAGCAUUUGUGUGAUUUGAUCAACCAUUUGAAGUCUAAUUUAGAUAGGAGCUCUAAGCUAAAGGAAUCAAUGGAAGAACUCUUCAGACAGGAGGUCUGGUUGAGAGGUGUUCAUGUAUAGGUACGUGCUAGAGUUAAAGGUAAGGCUAUUGCAUUGGGUUAUGUGAGUACAACUACUUUGUAACUAGCUUUUUCUUCUGAAUAGUGGAUUGCCUAGGUUUGGCUA